rnacentral:rRNA from 1 species
GGGUUGUGAGGUUAAGCGACUAAGCGUACACGGUGGAUGCCCUGGCAGUCAGAGGCGAUGAAGGACGUGCUAAUCUGCGAAAAGCGUCGGUAAGGUGAUAUGAACCGUUAUAGCCGGCGAUGUCCGAAUGGGGAAACCCAGUGCAAUUCGUUGCACUAUCGUUAACUGAAUACAUAGGUUAACGAGGCGAACCGGGGGAACUGAAACAUCUAAGUACCCCGAGGAAAAGAAAUCAACCGAGAUUCCCCCAGUAGCGGCGAGCGAACGGGGAGCAGCCCGGAGUCUGAAUCAGCUUGUGUGUUAGUGGAAGCGUCUGGAAAGUCGCAGGGUACAGGGUGAUACUCCCGUACACUAAAACACACAGGUUGUGAACUCGAAGAGUAGGGCGGGACACGUGGUAUCCUGUCUGAAUAUGGGGGGACCAUCCUCCAAGGCUAAAUACUCCUGACUGACCGAUAGUGAACCAGUACCGUGAGGGAAAGGCGAAAAGAACCCCGGCGAGGGGAGUGAAAAAGAACCUGAAACCGUGUACGUACAAGCAGUAGGAGCCCACUAGUUGGGUGACUGCGUACCUUUUGUAUAAUGGGUCAGCGACUUAUAUUCUGUAGCAAGGUUAACCGUAUAGGGGAGCCGCAGGGAAACCGAGUCUUAACUGGGCGUUAAGUUGCAGGGUAUAGACCCGAAACCCGGUGAUCUAGCCAUGGGCAGGUUGAAGGUUGGGUAACACUAACUGGAGGACCGAACCGACUAAUGUUGAAAAAUUAGCGGAUGACUUGUGGCUGGGGGUGAAAGGCCAAUCAAACCGGGAGAUAGCUGGUUCUCCCCGAAAGCUAUUUAGGUAGCGCCUCGUGAACUCAUCUUCGGGGGUAGAGCACUGUUUCGGCUAGGGGGUCAUCCCGACUUACCAACCCGAUGCAAACUACGAAUACCGAAGAAUGUUAUCACGGGAGACACACGGCGGGUGCUAACGUCCGUCGUGAAGAGGGAAACAACCCAGACCGCCAGCUAAGGUCCCAAAGUCAUGGUUAAGUGGGAAACGAUGUGGGAAGGCCCAGACAGCCAGGAUGUUGGCUUAGAAGCAGCCAUCAUUUAAAGAAAGCGUAAUAGCUCACUGGUCGAGUCGGCCUGCGCGGAAGAUGUAACGGGGCUAAACCAUGCACCGAAGCUGCGGCAGCGACACUAUGUGUUGUUGGGUAGGGGAGCGUUCUGUAAGCCGUUGAAGGUGGCCUGUGAGGGUUGCUGGAGGUAUCAGAAGUGCGAAUGCUGACAUAAGUAACGAUAAUGCGGGUGAAAAACCCGCACGCCGGAAGACCAAGGGUUCCUGUCCAACGUUAAUCGGGGCAGGGUGAGUCGACCCCUAAGGCGAGGCCGAAAGGCGUAGUCGAUGGGAAACAGGUUAAUAUUCCUGUACUCGGUGUUACUGCGAAGGGGGGACGGAGAAGGCUAUGUUGGCCGGGCGACGGUUGUCCCGGUUUAAGCAUGUAGGCGGAUGUUCCAGGUAAAUCCGGAACGUUAUUAACGCUGAGGUGUGAUGACGAGGCACUACGGUGCUGAAGUGACAAAUGCCCUGCUUCCAGGAAAAGCCUCUAAGCAUCAGGUAACAUCAAAUCGUACCCCAAACCGACACAGGUGGUCAGGUAGAGAAUACCAAGGCGCUUGAGAGAACUCGGGUGAAGGAACUAGGCAAAAUGGUGCCGUAACUUCGGGAGAAGGCACGCUGAUGGUAGGUGAAGUGACUUGCUCAUGGAGCUGAAAUCAGUCGAAGAUACCAGCUGGCUGCAACUGUUUAUUAAAAACACAGCACUGUGCAAACACGAAAGUGGACGUAUACGGUGUGACGCCUGCCCGGUGCCGGAAGGUUAAUUGAUGGGGUUAUCCGUAAGGAGAAGCUCUUGAUCGAAGCCCCGGUAAACGGCGGCCGUAACUAUAACGGUCCUAAGGUAGCGAAAUUCCUUGUCGGGUAAGUUCCGACCUGCACGAAUGGCGUAAUGAUGGCCAGGCUGUCUCCACCCGAGACUCAGUGAAAUUGAACUCGCUGUGAAGAUGCAGUGUACCCGCGGCAAGACGGAAAGACCCCGUGAACCUUUACUAUAGCUUGACACUGAACACUGGUCCUUGAUGUGUAGGAUAGGUGGGAGGCUUUGAAGUGUGGACGCCAGUCUGCAUGGAGCCAUCCUUGAAAUACCACCCUUUAAUGGCUGGUGUUCUAACGUGGGCCCCUAAUCGGGGUUGCGGACAGUGUCUGGUGGGUAGUUUGACUGGGGCGGUCUCCUCCUAAAGAGUAACGGAGGAGCACGAAGGUCAGCUAAUCCUGGUCGGACAUCAGGAGGUUAGUGCAAUGGCAUAAGCUGGCUUGACUGCGAGCGUGACGGCGCGAGCAGGUGCGAAAGCAGGUCAUAGUGAUCCGGUGGUUCUGAAUGGAAGGGCCAUCGCUCAACGGAUAAAAGGUACUCCGGGGAUAACAGGCUGAUACCGCCCAAGAGUUCAUAUCGACGGCGGUGUUUGGCACCUCGAUGUCGGCUCAUCACAUCCUGGGGCUGAAGUAGGUCCCAAGGGUAUGGCUGUUCGCCAUUUAAAGUGGUACGCGAGCUGGGUUUAGAACGUCGUGAGACAGUUCGGUCCCUAUCUGCCGUGGGCGCUGGAGAAUUGAGGGGGGCUGCUCCUAGUACGAGAGGACCGGAGUGGACGCAUCACUGGUGUUCGGGUUGUCAUGCCAAUGGCAUUGCCCGGUAGCUAAAUGCGGAAGAGAUAAGUGCUGAAAGCAUCUAAGCACGAAACUUGCCCCGAGAUGAGUUCUCCCUGACUCCUUGAGAGUCCUGAAGGAACGUUGAAGACGACGACGUUGAUAGGCCGGGUGUGUAAGCGCAGCGAUGCGUUGAGCUAACCGGUACUAAUGAACCGUGAGGCUUAACCUUACAACGCCGAAG